CCCGCGCUAGCUCAGCGGCAGAGCUGCGAGCUCUUAACUCGUAGGCCGAAGGUUCGAGUCCUUCGCGCGGGAC
rnacentral:tRNA from 1 species